rnacentral:lncRNA from 1 species
CUAGGAUCUAAAAGGUAAAAGACACCUAGAGGGGGGUGAAUAGGUGUAAACGGCAACAAUCUCGAAACUCGAUGCAAAUUUAAAAUAAAAUGCGGAAAAGUAAAAUCAGCACACCGAGAAUUAACGUGGGAAAACUCCAAACCGGAGAGAAAAACCCACGGGACCGAUCACACAAAGAAAUCCACUAAGAAAACGUGAGUACAAGUGAUUUAUCAAAAAUACAAGACUCGAAAUACCGAAUUCUCGUUGUAGAACAUCUUUGCCAGUCCUUGAUCGCUUGAAAUCCUCCAACCGAUCACACUGCAAAUCCUUGCAGCCACACACGCCUCGAUUCCACGAAACGCCUACCGAAUCCACGGUCUUCACGCGAGAUCCACGCGCUAACGCUCCAUCCGAAGCUCGUAGAGAUUUAACAAUUUAUGGUGAUUUAAACUCUUUGAAAGCACAUAUGAUAUGAGGAGAAAUCCAAAUCAAAACAUCACCAAUUUGAUCCUUAAAGAAAGUUUGAAUCAAAAACUGAAGAAUCAAACCGGUGAUCUAAAACUUGAUCUUGAGAAACAUGGAUCAAAAAACUCAAAUCAAGCCGUUAGGGUUUCUAAAAGAUUAUCUUGCUCAACUCAGGUCAUAUGGAGAUCCUCAUAUCAUAUUUAUAGGUUUAGAAGACUUCUAGAUAGACUAGGAUUCCAAAAACUCAAAUUUAAAAACAGACGACGGUCUCAGGGUCCGGUCCUCUCGAGGAGACCGGUCCUUGGGGGACCGGUCCUCCAAGGUGAGGUCCGGUCUUACGCUGCGUAGAUGUCAAAAUAUGCGUACGGGAACCGGUCCUCAAUUUAGAGACCGGUCCCUCCCUGCGCAACAAGGAAAACCACUUACGGGGACCGGUCCUCAAGACCAGAGACCGGUCUCCCAAAACUUCUACGCAGAGAAGCUUGAUGGGUCCGGUCCCUCUGAUCAAGGACCGGUCCCCGACCCCUGAUUUUUUCAGAAAACUUUUGAAUAAGUGAAAAGAAAAACAAGUCUUCUAAACAUCUUUUAAUAAUGAAAACUUCACCACAAAUUGUUUCUAAUCAUACCUGAGUUCUCAAGGGUCUUUGAUCACAAAACUUCAGUUCUUUUCGUCAAUCUUCAUCUUCUAAUUCUUCGAGACUCCAUCCAAACCUUCACGAAAUUCGCCAACUUAUAAAAUUCUUAACAAUCUCCCCCUUUGGCGAUUUCGUGACAAAAUACAAAAAUAAUAUACAAUGCUUAUCCAAAGACAAAAAUAAGAAGGUUAUCGCAAUCACUAAACAACAACCUUCUGCAUGAUCAAUCCAAUAAAAACAGAAUUAUAUUUUUAACAUCCUA